rnacentral:rRNA from 1 species
AUGAAACUCAAAGGAAUUGACGGGGACCCGCACAAGCGGUGGAGCAUGUGGUUUAAUUCGAAGCGACGCGAAGAACCUUACCCGGCCUUGACAUCCCCACGGAUGCAGGGCAAUGCCUGCAGCCCCUCGGGGCGUGGGAGACAGGUGGUGCAUGGUUGUCGUCAGCUCGUGUCGUGAGAUGUUGGGUCAAGUCCCGCAACGAGCGCAACCCCUGCCCCUAGUAGCCAGCACGUGGUGGUGGGCACUCUAGGGGGACUGCCGGGGACAACCCGGAGGAAGGCGGGGACGACGUCAAAUCAUCAUGCCCCUUAUGGCCGGGGCUACACACGUGCUACAAUGGCGCGCACAGAGGGAGGCGAGCGGGCGACCGUGAGCGAAGCCCGGAAAGCGCGCCCCAGUUCGGAUUGCAGCCUGCAACUCGGCUGCAUGAAGCCGGAAUCGCUAGUAAUCGCGGAUCAGAACGCCGCGGUGAAUACGUUCCCGGGUCUUGUACACACCGCCCGUCACACCAUGGGAGUCGGGAACGCCC